AAGCGAAGGACCCAGCAGGGAAGCGAGUAAACUCAUGAAAUGAGGCUUCUCUAACAAUUUAUUUAACCUUCGUAGAUUGAAUCUCCAAGAGCUCUUUGAUGAUCUACGUUUUCGUGGGUUCUCUUGUGUUUUUUGGUGUAUAGCU
rfam:Arabidopsis thaliana chromosome 2, complete sequence.